UACGUAGGGUGCGAGCGUUGUCCGGAAUUAUUGGGCGUAAAGAGCUCGUAGGCGGUGUGUCACGUCGGCCGUGAAAACCUGCAGCUUAACUGUGGGCGUGCGGUCGAUACGGGCAUCACUGGAGUUCGGCAGGGGAGACUGGAAUUCCUGGUGUAGCGGUGAAAUGCGCAGAUAUCAGGAGGAACACCGGUGGCGAAGGCGGUUCUCUGGGCCUGUUCUGACGCUGAGGAGCGAAAGCGUGGGGAGCGAACAGG
rnacentral:rRNA from 1 species